ensembl:misc_RNA Y_RNA Y RNA
GGCUGGUUGGAAUGCAGUGGUAUUUACAACUAAUUGAUAAUCAGUUACAGAUAUUUUUGUUCCUUCUCCACUCCCGCUGUUUCACUUGACUAGCCUUUA